UACGAAGGGUGCAAGCGUUACUCGGAAUUACUGGGCGUAAAGCGUGCGUAGGUGGUGCGUUAAGUCUGUCGUGAAAGCCCCGGGCUCAACCUGGGAACCGCGCUUGAGACUGGCACGCUCGAGUUCGGGAGAGGAUGGUGGAAUUCCCAGUGUAGAGGUGAAAUUCGUAGAUAUUGGGAAGAACACCGAUGGCGAAGGCAGCCAUCUGGACCGACACUGACGCUGAGGCGCGAAAGCGUGGGGAGCAAACAGG
rnacentral:rRNA from 1 species